AUUGAACGCUGGCGGCAUGCCUUACACAUGCAAGUCGAACGGCAGCACGGGGCAACCUGGUGGCGAGUGGCGAACGGGUGAGUAAUGUAUCGGAACGUACCAUUGAGUGGGGGAUCACGUAGCGAAAGUUACGCUAAUACCGCAUAUUCUCUCCGGAGGAAAGCAGGGGACCGCAAGGCCUUGCGCUCUUUGAGCGGCCGAUAUCAGAUUAGCUAGUUGGUGAGGUAAAGGCUCGCCAAGGCGACGAUCUGUAGCGGGUCUGAGAGGAUGAUCCGCCACACUGGAACUGAGACACGGUCCAGACUCCUACGGGAGGCAGCAGUGGGGAAUUUUGGACAAUGGGCGCAAGCCUGAUCCAGCCAUGCCGCGUGAGUGAAGAAGGCCUUCGGGUUGUAAAGCUCUUUCGGCCGGGAAAAAAUCGCAUGGGCUAAUACCCUGUGUGGAUGAUGGUACCGGAAUAAGAAGCACCGGCUAACUACGUGCCAGCAGCCGCAGUAA
rnacentral:rRNA from 1 species